UCCGUGAGUCUGGUUCUGUUCUGGAGCGCUGAGGUCUCUGCUGUCGAUGCUCCGGUUCACGUGAGCUGCAAAGACGCCAACGGCGGCGACGUCGACUGGUUCGUCGUGUACAAAGCCCCUGUGGAGCUCAACGUGCGCACAGGUCUGGAGCACAUGUACAUAGACGCUAACGGGGACAGUGACAUGAGUCGCAUCGACGACUCAAACGGAGUCCUGGCUCGCACGCUCCAGCCGAUGCUUCGAUCCGUCCGGAAUAUGCCGCCGAGCUUCGGGUUCCUGAGCUACAGCGACCAGCCUCCAGGAGCCAGCGCCAACACCAAGCUGUUCGGGCACAGCAAAGGUCAAAGGGCACUCACUGGAACAUUCUAGAGGCUG